rnacentral:rRNA from 1 species
AUUGAACGCUGGCGGCAUGCUUUACACAUGCAAGUCGAACGGUAACAGGCCGCAAGGUGCUGACGAGUGGCGAACGGGUGAGUAAUGCAUCGGAACGUGCCCAGUCGUGGGGGAUAACGCAGCGAAAGCUGUGCUAAUACCGCAUACGAUCUAUGGAUGAAAGCGGGGGACCGUAAGGCCUCGCGCGAUUGGAGCGGCCGAUGUCAGAUUAGCUAGUUGGUGGGGUAAAGGCCCACCAAGGCGACGAUCUGUAGCUGGUCUGAGAGGACGACCGGCCACACUGGGACUGAGACACGGCCCAGACUCCUACGGGAGGAAGCAGUGGGGAAUUUUGGACAAUGGGCGCAAGCCUGAUCCAGCAAUGCCGCGUGCAGGAAGAAGGCCUUCGGGUUGUAAACUGCUUUUGUACGGAACGAAACGGUCUGGGUUAAUACCCUGGGCUAAUGACGGUACCGUAAGAAUAAGCACCGGCUAACUACGUGCCAGCAGCCGCAGUAACAC